AUUGACACGUCAAUCUAAGGCAAUAAUUGUCUCUUGCAAUACGUUUGGCGCCACAGAACAAGCAUUGCCGUACACAAGUAAGUGAUGGAGCAUGCGCAAUUCUAUAAAAUCUGACAAAACAUAUCACAGCACUCCAUUCGUCACAGUAAUCACGUUGGAUGUAAAGUUUAUUCCUCUUCUUCGUAUUAUCAUUAUUAUUAUUAUUAUUAUUAUUAUUAUUAUUAUUAUUAUUAUUAUUAUUAUUAUUAUUAUUAGUGUUGUUGUUGUUGUUGUUGUUGUUGUUGUUGUUAAGGCGGCGAACUGGCAGAAUUGUUAGAACGCCAAGCGAAAUGCAUAGCGGUACGUCGUCUGCUGCUACAUUCUGAGUUCAAAUUCCGCCGAGGUCCACUUUGCCUUACAUCCUUUCGGGGUCGAUAAAAUAAGUAUCAGUUGAAUACUGGGGUCGAUGCAAUCGUCUUAACCCCUCCCCCAAAAUUACUGCCCUUGAAGCAAAAUUUGAAACCAUUAUUGUUGUUGUUGUUGAUGGUGUUAGUGGUGGUGGUGUUGAUGAUGUUAACAAUGAUGAUGAUGAUGAUGAUGAUGAUGAUGAUGAUGAUUAUGAUGAUGAUGAUAACGAUAUUGUUGUUGUCGUCAUCGUCGCUGUUCCUGGCAGAAUCGUUAGCACGCCGGGCAAAAUGCUUAGCCACAUUUUGUCCGUCUUUACGUUUUGAGUUCCAAUUCCACCGAAGUUGACUUUGCCUUUAAUCCUCUCGGGGUCGAUAAAAUAAGUACCAGUUGAGUGCUGGGACCAACGUAAUCGAUUUACCCCUCCCUUGAAAUUGCUGGCCUUGUUCCAAAAUUUGUAAUCAUUAUUAUUAUUAUUAUUAUUGCUGUUAUUAUUUUCGUUGCUAUUUCUUUAUAAAAAAAAAGUCACAAUUUUUAUUCAGUUACAUUACAUAACGAUUUCCUCUUUUUCCAUCUUGCUUUAUUUUUUCCCUUGUUUUUCUUUCGCUCAUUUUCAGUCUCUCUCUCUCCCUCCCUCUCUCUCCCUCCCCCUCUCCCUCUCUCUUUUACACGCACACAUACACGCACAUACUCUUUCUCAUACAACCACUAUAUAUGUAUAUAUAUACCUACAUACAUACACUCAUACAUACAUACAUAUACAGACACACACAUACACUCACACAUACACAUGCAUACAAAAAUAUGCGAAAAUAUACGGUCAACCUCAUACACAUACAAAUAUAUCUAUCAGUAGCAAUUGUAAAUUUCUUCUCUCCUUCUCUCCGCUUCUCUCUCUCUCUUUCUCUCUCUCUCUCUCUCUCUCUCUCUUUCUCAACCCUCUCCUUUCGCUCUCUCAUGUUUUCCAGUUCAUUCUGCUUGUAUUCUUAUACUUUUUCCUCUCUCUCAUUCACUCUCUGAACUAUCAUAAGGAUGUAUGUGUGUGUGUGUGUGUGUGUGUGUGUGUGUGUAGAUGUCUGCAUAAAUAAGUUUGUGUUUAGCAAGUGGUUUUUCUCCCUAGCUUUCCAGAUCCGGUGACACCGGUGAAUUCAUCGGAGUUAAUGUUAUUGAACAUUUGCAAAUUAACAGUGACAGAACGAUACGAGCGAAGAAGGAAUUCCAGAGGAUCGAGCUUGAAACAAGUGAACUGGGGCCAAUCUAUGAAUAAAAGAUAGAGGAAGGUGGUGGUGAUGGUGGAAGGAAUAUUACGAAAGAAAGAAAGAAAGAAAGAAAGAAAGAAAGAAAGAAAGAAAGAAAGAAAGAAAGAAAGAAAGAAAGAAAGAAAGAAAGAAAGCGAGAAAGUGAGAAUGUUUUGUAGAUUUAAGAGAACUGGGUUUAGCGGCUAGCUUUCCCUUCAUCAUUGUCGUCGUCUCUGUGAAUGCCACCUCUUUCCGUUUCGUGUUUUUCUGUCUUAAGAAUAAACUAAAUUUUUGUCUACGUUUAGAACAACUAAAGCAUUCGUUACUGAGAAGAACAAAUAGAGUCGAAACGCCAUAUCUGGUAAUCCACUUUCUGUAGAAGUAGUCUUUUAAUGAAGAUAGAUCUGUCAGCACUAAUUUUUUGCGGUGUAUUUAAUUUUGCUAAAUCGUAGCAAGGAUGGAGAUUGAGAAAGUGUAAGUUACAGAAAAGGAGUAGAUAGUUAAAAACUGUUUGACAAACAAUGAUGCUUGCAUGUAUAAACAUAUAUAUAUAUAUAUAUAUAUAUAUAUAUAUAUAUAUAUAUAUAUAUAUAUAUAUAUAUAUAUACACAUAUACAUACAUAUAUAUACAUAUAUACAUACAUAUAUAUAUAUAUAUAUAUAUAUAUAUAUAUAGACAGAGAGAGAGAGAGAGGGGGGAGAUAGAUAGAUAGAUAGAUAGAUAGAUAGAUAGAUAGAUAGAUAGAUAGAUAGAUAGAUAGAUAGAUAGAUAGAUAGAUAGAUAGAUAGAUAGAUUAUAUCUCCUUUGCACGUGUUGUGCUAAAAAAACAAAAUAUAAAUCUCCGGAUGAAUACUGCAGUAAAUUUAACUUUCAGUAAUGUAUUGAUAUUAAGCAUGAUACAGAGGUGGCUAUUUUAAUCUAAUACUGCUUCUCGGCGUGGGUAUGUAGGAAGAAGUUUGCUUCUCAGCCAUAUGGGUUCGAGGUCAGCCCCAUCCGAAGCCUUGUGAUUGGAUCUGGUAGGCGGAAACUGGAAGAAACCCGUUCGAUUUACAUAUACACAACCUUGUUGCUUUGUUUGUGUCCCCGUAACUUAGCGGCUCGGCAAAAGAAACCGAUGAAAUAAAUACCAGGUUUUAAAAAUAUAGUUGGGGCAGAUUCGAUCGACUAAAAUACUUCGAGGUGGUGCCCCAGCAUGGUCGCAAUAUCUAAGACUAAAACAAAUAAAAGAUAUUUAUAUAUAUGCUAUGAUCAAGUCAUCCCAGUAAGCCCCAUUCUUUACACUAUUAACUCCUAUCAAAAGAGCAAGUACACGAAAUUAUAUCAAAUAAAACUACUCAACUAAGGAUCGAACCCGCAUAGCAGACUCGGUUGCUUAUUACCAUACAAAACGGUGCCAGCACUCGAACUCCUAUUCAUCAACGUAACUCCAAGUUUUUAUGCUAAAGUAAACUUACUAUUUUCUUAAGUCUGCUGCAAGCUGUUCGUGUCGGCUGUCUUUUAUCAAGACAUUUAACCAUUCUUUGCUUAAUAAAAGCAAAUACAAUUCAUCGAUAGCCAGUUACUAAGACCUAAUAGUUUGAGGCACCAAAUUACGAACUCCCGGUCAUUGCUAUAUAUCCAUACGCGAGACACUUCACUUCCGACCGGAAGGCUACGUAUUCAUUCUUUAUUAAUUUAUUCAUGACGCUUAGGCACCAGUUUCAAAUCUAUUUCGGAACCAGUCGAUAUAAAAAUACAAGCACUUUUGAAAAUAUUAUUUUUCAUUACACACUCUCAUCGUAACUUAUCGCUAUAAUUCUAUAAUUUAAAUGUUCCGUCUGGAAAAGCGGAAGUGAUGACAGAAAAUGUCUGUCUUCCUCCCUCUCUGACUCUUUGUAGUUUCUGCAACGAUCAUCAUUUCUACACAAAUUCAACCUUUUCUCGCAGUAAUACAAAGAAAGAAAAGCGCAGAUUUAACUGCCUAAGCCCAGAGGGGGUGGAAAAUGUAGAAAAAAAUAUUGAAAAAUUUAUCAAAAGAAUAUAAAAUUAUUGAAAUAAGCGUGGUUUAUGAGGGCGCGAAUAUCUUAACAUUAUGGUGGAAGGUUAUGAUUGGGGAAAUAGUUGCUGUAACAACUAAUAAAUUACGUAUCCUUUUUAUCAAGCCACUCCCAUUCUUUUAGUGCUAAAUAAUGGCUCGUUAUAUCUAAUAAUGUGAUAUUUCUCUGUCUCCUUCAAUCUUCGAAUAAAAGAUGGAGGAAGGUGGUGGUGGAAGGAGUAUUACGAAAGCAAGAAAGAAAGAGAGAGGGAGAGUGUAUUGUAGAUUAAAGAGAUCUUUAAUGUCUUGAAGUGUAGUUUUUGUGUUUUCCCGAAGGAAUGAAGUAAAACAAAAUAACAGAAUCGAACAUUAUGUAUGAAUUUGUAUGUGUGUGUGUGUGUGUGUGCAUACAGAAAAAGACACACACACACACACACACACACACACAGAUAGAUAGAUAGAUAGAUAGAUAGAUAGAUAGAUAGAUAGAUAGAUAGAUAGAUAGAUAGAUAGAUAGAUGUAAAGGAGGGCAAAUCAAAACUUACACGUGCUCAUGUUUCCGAGGUUGAACAAUUACAUCAUUUUCUGACAUAGUUUCCUUGCUUUUCGGUGCACUUCAUCCAGCGGUCCACAGGCUUGCUUAUUCCAUCGGAGAAGAAGGUUUUCAGUUGGUCGCGAAGCUAUUAAUGCAUUGCUUCCGACGCCUCUUUGUCCGUAGCAAAUCGACGACCUUACAAAAAUAUACUUGAGCGGUCCAAAGAAGUGAUGGACUGUAUGCAAGAUGUUCCAGCGUCUCGAAAGUCAAUCUUUCAAUGGUUUCCACGGUGUGGAUGGCCAUAUGUGGUUGUGCAUUGUCGUGCAACAAUAACACUUGCUUUGACAAUAGACUUCGGCGUUUGAUGCGAAUUGCUGGUUUCAGAUUUUUGGCCAGCAUUUUACUGUAGCCUACACUGGUAACUGUAGACCCCUUUUCCAGGUAAUGUUCCAGAAUAGGCUCUUCUGCGUCUCAAAAAACGGUUAGCAUCAUUUUUUCUGCGGAAGGUUGAGUCUUGAAUUACUUUUUCGCUGGCGAUUCGGGGUGUUUUCAAUCCAUAUUCUGCUUUUGGAUUCAGGCACAAAGUGAUGCGCCCAGGUCUCAUCUCCUAUGACUAUUCUUUCCAAAAGUGCUUCGCCUUCAUCGUUGAGGCGGUCGAAUUAGUGUUGACAGAUAUCCAAACAAUUAUGCUUAUGCGCUUCGCUAUGCUUUUUUGGCACCCAUCUCGCACAGACUUUACGGAAGCAGAGCUUGUACUUGAUUUCGUAUGCAGAAGCAUGACUAAUUUGCAGAGAACAUGCCACCUCAUCGAUGGACACUCGUCGGUUCGCCAGAACCAUCUCUCGAGCUUGUUGAAUCUUCACAUCAUUGGUGGAGAUGAUUGAGUAGUUAACGCUUACGCUCAUAACACAUAGAUAUUUGAAUUAAUUUUUACAAUCCAACCAUCUUUUCACACGGAAUUUCUUCUUUUUCUAAACCAUGGGCCUGAAGUGACUUUAUAUAUAAAGGAACUGUGAUUAUAUCAGAAAAAAUAUAUAUAAGUCGAAACAAUUUGUUGGCUUUUAUGGUUUUUAUAAAUAUUUCUGUUAUAUAAUAUUGUGCUAUGUUAUAUUAUAUUCAUAGUAUUUAAUGUAAUAUUGUAAUAUAAAUUAUUAGAUUGUCAAAAGUAUAUCUCUAUAUUUAAUUUAUCUUUAUAAUUGAAUUAUACUAAUAUUUAUAUGGUAUCCAACAGCAGCACCAGUGAAUUGGAUGUUUAACACACUCCUUUGAAGGAUUUAUUUUCCUCAGUUAGUUACUUUGUAUAUAUAUAUAUAUAUAUAUAUAUAUAUAUAUAUAUAUAUAUAUAUAUAUAUAUACCGGAGUAAACACAUAAAUGUGAAACAAGGUGGGAGAAAGAGUACUCGAAUACCAGAGGUAGAGUAAAAUGCUUUAUUUAAAAGCAGCAGAAAUUUAACAAAAGCUAUUACUCGGAGUUUCAAGUUUCCGUUCGUCAGACAGUUUUGUUAACAAAACUGUCCGACGAACGGGAACGUGAAACUCCGAGAAACAGCUUUUGUUAAAUUUCUGCUGGUUUUAAAUAAAGCAUAUAUAUAUAUAUAUAUAUAUAUAUAUAUAUAUAUAUAUAUAUAUAUAUAUAUAUAUAUAUAUAUAAGGGUGUUUGAGAGACACCACCAUGCCGAAAUAGCAGUCAAAUCCCUGACUCUAAAGACCACCUUAAAUGUUCAUAUCGCACCAUGAGAUAAGACAGAGGGACAAAAUAGACUAGCAAAAAGAUAUUACUGAAUAAUUCAAGAUCCUGGAUUUCUAGAUUUGCUUCAAAUAAGCUCUGCCUUCAUCAGUUGAAUAAAUCAGAUGGGCACAUAAAUACAAAUAUAUAUAUACAGAACACACGUUAUACUUACAUAUACGAACGUCCAUACAAACAUAUAUAUGCACGUAUGUACAAGGCCAGUUCAAAUUCCCCGCCAACCACCUCAUAAGCACGAUAUGGUCAAAAUAAACACCGCAGUGAAUAUAGUGACGAAUUAUAUAAACUUAUAAAUAAGGAUAAAAUUGAUUUUUAAAUAUCGAUAUUAUCGAGUGGCCAGCAUGGGAAUAAAUACCAUACAAAGGUAAAGGUGGUCUUUAGAGUCAGGGAUUUGACUGCUAUUUCAGACACCCUUAUUUAUAGUUGUAAAAAAUUAUUACUUUUGUAUGGUAUUUAUUCCCAUGCUGGCCACUUGAAAAUAUCGAUAUGUAAAUAUCGAUAUUAUCCUUAUUUAUAAUAUAUAUAUAUAUAUAUAUAUAUAUAUAUAUAUAUAUAUAUAUAUAUAUAUAUAUACAUAUAUAUGUAUGCCUCCCCCACAUCCCAACAGCACAACAUCACACCACACACCACCACACCACACACCACCAUACCACACAACACCACACCGCAUCACACCAUCACGCACACACUAGCAGUGACCACUUCCCAGCCCACACACCUACACAUGCACACACGCACACGUCAAGGUCACCAGCCCUCUUCCACACGCACAUAUAUGCUCUCUUAUACACACUCACGCGCACCUUCAUUUUGGGAUCACCACUACUUUAUUAUCUCUUCUUCUUUCUAGCACUCCUGUGUGACCCCACUGUCCGGCAUUCGCCAUGAUAGAUCGCUAGCCAUUACACAUUCUUUAUUCUCUCUCUCUGUUUCUUUCUGUAUUCCUUUCUGUGGAAGAGCGUAGGCUCGAAACGUUAAAGAUUUUUUCACUUCCCGAGCGUUAAACUAAUACAUCUGUUUGUUCUCUACACCACCUGUCUUCGUCUUUUCUUCUUUUAUUUUUGUGAAUUUUCCCCCUAUAUAUAUAUAUAUAUAUAUAUAUAUAUAUAUAUAUAUAUAUAUAUAUAUAUAUAUAUAUAUAUAUACACACUGGUUUUCGCUGUCUUCCCCUUUUGUUAUUGUAGUAUAUUUAAAUUGCCUGUCGAUAAAUAGUCUCUCUUUAGUUAAAUGUGAUGAUUCUGGAUUGUUUUGCUAGUUUUAUUAAAGCUCUGAUCUGGUUAAAAUGAAAUGACUAAAUUGCUUUAGCCAUCACCAUCACCAUCACCAACGUCAUCAUCAUCAUCGUCGUCGUCAUCAGCGUCAUCAUCAUUAUCAUCAUGACCAUCGUCAUCUUCAUCAUCAUAUCAUCAUCAUCAACAUCACUAUCAUCACCAAGGCUACCAUCAUUAAUGCUAUCGCCACCAUCACACCACCACCACUGUCAUCAUUAUCAUCAUCAGCAGCAGCAGCAGUAGCAGCAUCAGCAACACCGCCACCACCACUAAUAUCACAAACAUUUGCAUCUUCCUCUCCAUUAUUAUCAGCACCAUCUCAACCAUCACUUUCAUCAUUGUCACCAUCGACACCCCUUUUAUCAUCCACCACCGCCUUACUCUCCUCGUUUCCACCCUCUCCUUCACCAUCCCCUUAUCUCUACCUUCCCUUCAUACCUACUUCCCUCUCACACCUCCUCUACCUGAUCUCUCCUCUUCCUUCUCCUCUUUUCCUCCUCACCUCCACUAACUCCACUCCUCUUCUCACCUUCUCUUCCUCUUUUCCUCCUCACCUCCACUACCUCCACUCCUCUUCUCACCUUCUCUUCCUCUUUUCUCCUAUCUUCCCCGCCUUCACAUCAUCAUCAUCAUCAUCAUCAUCUUCAUCAUCAUCAUCUUUAUCGUAUACAUCUUUAUCUCAUCAUUAUCAUCGUCGUUAGCGCCAUCUUUAUCAACAUCAGCAGCAGCACAAUUGCAGUCGCCGCCGCCACCGUUAUCGUCGUCGCCAACAUCUCCACCACCGCUGCCGCCGCCACCGCACCGGUUGAUAUUGUUUUACAAAAUAUCUGUCUUUCCAUUUUUGGCAUUGGUUAGAUUCUGUUUGAACAUAUCUGGCACCAUUUGUGAUAUGAGGCAAUUGUUGCGCAAGAAGCAAUGUCUUGGAAUGGUUACAGUCACUGGUUUUCUUCUGAAUGUUUGGUGAGGCAAGACGUUGUGAUGUGAGCGACAACAUUUUUACUCACACUAACACCACGACUCUUACUCUCUCUCUCUUUCUCUCUCUCUCUUUCUCUCUCUCUCUUUCUCUCUCUCUCUUUCUCUCUCUUUCUUGCACCCUUUCUUUCUCCACAUAAGCAUUAACAUGUGAUGAUCAUCAUCGUCAUCGUCGUUGUCAUAAUCAUCCUCGUCGUCGUCGUCGUCGUCAUCAUCAUCAUCAUUAUCAUUGUUAUGGGUAAGAAAUACCGAUUUUAGUUGCUUUUUCUUCAUGCUAACUGUGAAACUUUAACAGAAACCUUAAACAGAAAGUCCCUUUCUAAGAAUAUCGACGCUUCCAAGGAGGGUCGAGUUUUUGAGCACUCGUAUAAUCUGCCUUAUUCCAGUUGAUAUGAUAGUUUUUUAAGGAAUUGAACCCAAUGAUCCGAUGAUAACUAAUGGAACUACUUUCUCUUUUAUUGUGAGAUGUCGCCGUUUUUUCUCUAUCUCUUUUAAAUCAGAAUAUUUCAACAUGCUUUCUACUUGGUUUAUCUUAUCAGCAUUGUUUGUUGCCACCUAAAAUGAUAUCUGUUUGUCUGAAUGUGAAAAUCCCAUAGCCAAAAUUUAUUAUUAUUAUUGUUAUUAUUAUUAUUAUUAUUAUUAUUAUUAUUAUUAUUAUUAUUAUUAUUAUCAUCAUCAUCAUCAUUAUUAUUAUUAUUAUUAUUAUUAUUAUUAUUAUUAUUAUUAUUAUCAUCAUCAUCAUCAUCAUCAUCAUUAUUAUUAUUAUUAUUAUUAUUAUUGUUGUUGUUAUUAUUAUUAUUAUUAUUAUUAUUAUUAUUAUCAUUAUUAUUAUUAUUAUUAUUAUUAUUAUUAUUAUUAUUGAGUGAGAGAGCAGUGCAUGCCAUCAAAGUGACACUGGGUAAAAUAUACGAAGCCCAUUUUACCCUUCAUGACUACUCGUCUGAUAAGGGUACACCAGGUACAUGCAUCACAACCAGGUAUUGUUUUAGUCUUUAAGUUCCACAUUUUGCUAAUUUCUAUUUCAAGAUCUUUAUACUUGCUCAGUUUUUGGUAGGUCUUGACAGAUACGUUUAUAUCGAUUGGGACAGUCAUAUCAAUGAGGAGGCAUGAUUUUUGUCCGAAGUAUUUCAUUAUAAUCUCUGGCCUAUUUGCAUCUAUCUGUCUGUCAGUUUGAAUGGUGAAGUUCCAGAGGAGUGAAAUGUGAUCAUUUCCAAGCACUGGAGGUUGUUUGUGUUCCCACUAGUUUUUAUCAUGGGGCAGGUCCAAGUCUUUGCAAAUUACCCAGUGAAUAUAUUGUGCUACUCUAUCAUGCCUGCUGAGAUACUCUGUAGGCGCAAGAAGACUGCACAUGGAGACAAGAUGAUCAAUGGUUUCAUUUUGUUGUUGACAUACACAUGUUGGGAAGCUACCGUUCUUUAAUAUGUUGGUCUGGUAGUUUCUUGUAGGUAAGCAUUGAUCUUUGCCUACUAUAAUAAACCCUUCUGUUUCUGAUUUUAAGCCAGAAGCCAUUAGCCACUGACGGGCAGGGGCUUUGUCAACAUCGGCACUACUAGCUCUCUUUGGAUAUUUGCCAUUGAGAGGUUUUUCUUGUCAUUUAUCAGUAAGAAUAUCUAAAAGGCAGUAGUUUUAGCACGGGUUUUCAAACGCUUAGCUUUUUCUGUGUUUGUUUCUAGUUCGUCUAAUUCUGAAAUUUGUUGUAUUUGGAAUUCACUUUGAUAUUCCUUUGCCUGUUUUGUUACUGAGUAUGAUGCUUUCUUAUUUUCAUGUUUUGAGACAAGUUUUAACAUCCAGUGAUCAGAGUUUUUCAGGUAGGUGUCUAAGCCAUUUGUGGCAAUCUUCAUCGUCAAUUCCAGUUGUAAAAUUCCACGGCUUCCCUCUUUUCUUAGCAGAUAAAGUCGUUCUAUAUCUGCUUUAGGGUGGUGCAUUCUAUGCAUUGUCAACAAUUUUCGUAUUUUUCUGUCAAGAUUACAUAUUUCAGUAAUUGACCAUCAUCAUCAUCAUCAUCAUCGUCGUCGUCGUCAUCGUUAUCGUCGUCAUCAUCAUCAUCAUCAUCAUCAUCGUCAUUGUUGUCGUUGUCAUUAUCAUCAUCAACAUCGUCGUCGUCGUCGCUGUCGUCAUCGUUACUGUCGUCGUAGUCGUUAUUAUUCUCAGUGUAAUCGUCAUUAUUAUUAUUAUUAUUAUUAUUAUUAUUAUUAUUAUUAUUAUUAUUAAAUGUAAAGAAAUGAAAUGUUCCUUGCGUCGAAAGUACGAGAUCCUAUUGACCAGAGAAUCAGUGGUUCGCAUCCUUUAACCUGCACUACAAUGUGUCCCUAACCAAGACACUCAGUGUAUGUGGAUCAAAUCCCCUUGUCUGUAAAUAAAUCUGUCUUAGUUAUUGCAACUCGCCAUGGAGCUUCAGAGAGCACUGGGUAGUGAUCUUGGAUAGUAGAUAGUGACUUUAGAUAGUGAUCUUGGUAAAUAGGUAUGAUUUUUGAUAGUAUGUAGGGACCUUAGAUAAUUAAUAAUGACCUCAGAUCAUGAAUAAUGACUUCGAGUAGUGGGUAAUUAUCUCGGAUAGUUGAUAUUCCUCUUUGGUAGUGGUUAGUGACAUUGGAUAGGGAGUAAUGAUUUGGGGGUAGUAAGUAUUGAUCUUGGGUAUUGUGUAGAGACUACGAAUAGUAGAUAGUGGUCUUAAGUAGUCGACUGUGACCUUAGAUAGUGAAUGGUGAGCAGAAAUCCUGGAUGGUGAGCAUUCUUCUUGAAUAAUAGGUAGUGAACUUAUGAUGUGGAUUGUGACCUCAAUCAUUACAAAAGAAUACGACGACCCUACAUUACACUGUUUCGGAUGCAGCUGGCCCCUGCUCAUAGUACCUGGAAUGAACUCCUAUCCAGGGUAACGGAUUCACUUCCCUUCGACUUCGAAAUACUGGGUUAAUAUCAGAUACAGCCGCUACUAGGCCAUAUUGAGGAGGGGGGAUGGAAUGCAAAACUGACGACCUUGUCUUCAGGACUUAGAUCUCACCAGACUGUAAAUAUGCUCCCAAUCUUUCAGUAGUUCAACUCAAAAGUUAUCAACGACGAACAGUUCAUUUAACCUAUAGGCUGAAAUCUUCCCAGGAAUAUAAAACAUGGAAGGGAAUUUGUUCCACCAAACUGUCUUAGAUUCCUGACAUCAAAAGCAAGACUCAGAUAAUCCAAAAAAUCACUAAGAAGGUGAAAAAAAUUAUAAAUAAUAAUGAUUUUAUGAUUGGCUACAAAACAUUAGAUUUGUCGGAGAAAAUAAAUCAAUCCGAUACGAUCUUGUAGAGAUGAAAGGGGAAAAAUCAAUCCCAAUGAGAUUUCAACCGAGACCACAGUAGGGCUGCAACCUUUUUCCUUAUUUUUUUUCUUAUUUUUUUUUUUUAGAUAUAUAUUUCGGUUGAAGUAUUAACGUUUCAGUCAAUUCCGGUUUGGAUGUGAAUAAUAAGACUGUAGAGCAUAACAGAUAUUGGUUUCAAAUUUUGGCAGAAGCCAGCAAUUUCAAUGAGUAUAUCGAUUACAUCGAUCCCAGUGCUGAAAUGGUACUUAUUUUAUCGGCCUUGAAAGGAUGAAAGGCAAAGUCGACUUCGGCAGAAUUUGAAAUCAGGACGUAAAGACGGGCAAAAUGCAGCUAAACACAAUAAAUAUUAAAAAUAGUAUCGUGUUAUAAACUAACCUUUUCCAGAAACACUUUUCAUUACUUUUUUCUAUGGUACGACUUACCUCAAUAAGUAGAGUAACGGGCAACAUGUACAUCUUACAAAACCAUAUUCAGCAAUACAUACUAAUUAUUAAACUUACUAUUAAGUCCACCUUCCUAAUGAAACAUAACUGUUAUUAUCCGAAGCUUCUAAGAGUGAAUACACACAGAGGACUAUAUAAAUAUAAUAGAUUGCCAUUUGGUCUGAAGGUCGCACCUGAAAUAUUUCAACAGUUCUGUCUUUAUGUUCUGAGUUCAAAUUCUGCCGAAGUCGACUUUGCUUUUCAUCCUUUCUGGGUUGAUAAAGUAAGUACCAGUUGCGUACUGGGGUCGAGCUAAUCGACUGGUCCCCUCCCCCAAAAUGUCGGGCCUUGUGCCUAGAGUAGAAAAGAAUAUUUCAACAGGUUAUGGAUGCGAUGUUGAUGGACUGUCAACUUGCAAUUCCAUACUUCGAUGAUGUAUUAAAAGUGAAUCUCGUGAUCAGCAUAUUGAACAUGUCAAAUGUGAUUUUCAAAAACUAAGAGAUUACGGUUUCACACCCAGUGAAGAGAAACGUGAAUUUUUUUUGCCAAAAAUUAAAUAUCUAGGACAAAUUGUAGAUAAAAAUGGAAGACGACCUGGCCCGUCGAGGGCAGACGCAAUUAGUGAUAUUACAAGCUUUUCUUAGCCUAGCGAGCUAUUAUCAAAAUUACAUACCAAACAUGUAUGAAUUGAGAGCUCCACUUAAUUUGCUAAAGAAAGACGCCAAAUAGAAUUGAUGAAAGGCGUUUCAAGAUAAUUAAAAAAUAUUAAUUUCGGAUUUGUCACUGGCUCAUUUCGAUCCUGCAGCAGAGAUUGUAGCUUCUAACGCUUCUGAAUAUGGUGUAGAAUCAGUUUUGCUAUACAAAUAUAAAGACGGUAAUAUGAAGGCGGUGGUUCAUGCCUCAAGUGCUCUGAUUGCAGCAGAAAAAAAAUACACUCAGAUAGAGAAAGAAACUCUAGCGAUUAUUUUUACCGUGAAGAAAUUUCACAGAUUUCUCCACUGUAGAAAAUUUCGGCUUCAGAUGGACCACCGACUGUUACUAUCAAUUUUCGGAUCGAAGACAGGAAUUCUUACCCAUACAGUUAACAGAUUACAACGCUGGGGUACAAUAUUGUUAAAUUACAACUUUAAGAUGGAGUGCAUUCCUUCUAAGAAAAUUGACCAUGCGGAUUGUUUAUCUAGGCUAAUUCCGAAGAAUGCAGAACCGCUCGAAGAUACGGCGAUAGCUGCAUUACAAUCAGAAAAGAAAAUUAAAAACGUUAUGUGCAAUGUCAAUCAGGAGUUGCCAGUGGCUGUACAAGAUAUAAAAAGUAAAUCAGCGGAGGACAAAUACAUCAUAAAAAUGAAGGAAACCUUCAAAAAUAAACAAAAGUAGAACACGAAGGCGACAUAUUUUUUACUCUGCGAUGAUGUAUUAAUGUACACACGAAGAGUUACGUGUAUUGACCGACAAUGGACCAGGACAUUGAAAAUUUGGUGAAAUUAUGUGGAGGUUUUGCGUUAGCAGCCAAGGCACCACCGGUAAAAUACCAAUCGUGGCCUGAGACGGAUCGUCCAUGAUCCAGGGUACACAGAGACUACGCUGGACCAGUGAAUGGCGCGUACUACUUGAUCAUUGUUGAUAGCUUUACUAAGUGGCCGGAAGUAUGUAGGUGCAGUCAACCUACCUCGGAGGCAACAAUGAAGUUCCUGCACGAACUUUUUGCUCGAUACGGUGUUCCGGACACCAUAGUAUCAGACAAUGGAACAUAAUUUACAGGAUACAAGUUCAAGAAAUCCUGCAAAAUGCAUACGUUCAAACGCGUUUACUCCACCCUACCACCCAAGGUCAAAUGGGCAAACAGAACGAUUCGCGAGCGCUAAAAAAGGCAAGGAACGAGUUAGGAAAUGAUGAAUCGCUAACUAAAUUUUUAUGGGUGUACAGAAUAACGCCCAAUCCGAUUACCAGUUGAGGCAAGUCGCCUGCAGAGCUAAUGUUCGCACGAAAGACUAAAUAGAUUUUCGACAAAUUGUUGCCAAAGGAAAAAACGUUUAGAGAAAAUACAAAAAAUUCAACUAAACAUUUUGAUGUCGGAGACAAAGUCUAUUUUAAAGUAUUCAAGGGCGGUAAAGAGAGUUGGCAGGAUGGUGUAGUGACUAAAAGAAUUGGAAACAUUAUGUAAUUUAAUUAAAGGUCAGCGAUGGGAGCAUAAAUGACACCUAAAUCAACUAAAAAUCAGACACACAGAAGAAAGGAAGUAAGUUCCAAUGGAAAUGUUUUACGAUAUGUUCGAUUCGCCAGCACCGAAAGAGAUUGAACCUAGAAAGAGCAGUAACAGAAAACGGAAACAGACUAAACAUUUAGAAAUAAUUCCUAAGCGGAAAAGGUACUGAACUCUCCAUCAUCAUCAUCAUCAUCAUCAUCAUCAUCAUCCAGUGUUUUAAAUCCGGGUCUUGUCCCCGUAAACGGGGGUGGCCGGAUCUACCUCAAUGCCAUAGCAACCGCCUUCACACCAUGUCACCAUCUUGCCCAGUUUUGGGCGUCCUUCCUUCUCAAGUCAAUUCUUCCAAUCUCCUCCUCCACCUGUCCCCUCCACGUUUUCCUAGGUCUACCUCGCUUUCGCGGUCCAUUUACCUAAAACUCAAGUACCCUCCUCAGAACAUGCUCCUCAUCCCUCUCCAACAAAUGCCCAUACCACUGCACUCCAUUCGCCCUAGCCAGCUGUUCCACCGAUUCCUCCAACCCCAUCAUCCCCAUCAAGUCCUCAGUCCUCCUCUUAUCAAACAGCUUCACACCACGUAUUUCUCGUACCAUUGUUCUCUCGGUUCUUCUCAAAAUUGCCAUCUCUCCCCCCAUCAGACACCAUGUCUCACUCCCAUACAGCAUUGCAGCUCCCACGCAACUCCUACAGACCCUUUCUUUCAUCUUCAAUGAGAACCUUUUCCCAUAUAACAACGCUCCACAUUCCCUGAACAUCACCCAGCCAAGUCUUGCUCUUGCUGUCACAGAUGCUUCACAUCCACAACUUAUAUCCACCCUAUCUCCCAAAUAACAAAGCCCUCUCACCGUUUCCACCUCGUCACGUAGCGUUUCCAGUGGUUCUGCCAGCCCUCCAGCUCCCUUCUCACAUCUUCCACAGGUAAACUCUCUUGCCAGUCUUGGGGUCACCUUCUUCAUUUUCGUACAUCUAACAUGAAUCCAUUUCUCACAUCUCGUACACAACACUGUAUUUGCAAUUACCCUCCUCCCACAUACACCACAUGGAUCCACCUUACUCUCUAACACUUCUUUUUCCACCCCGCUUACCAUCACCUUUGUCUUCCCGAGGUUUAUCUUCAAACCUUUGUUCUCAAACGCCUCCUUCCAUUUCUAAAGCUUCUCCCUCAAUUCCUCCAUCGUCUCGCUCAUCGGAACAAGGUCAUCUGCAUACAGUAUCUCCAUUAUCAGUCCCUCUCUUGCACUCUCCGUCACCAUAUCAACCACUAUUGCAAACAACAACGGUGACAACACAGAUCCCUGAUGCACACCAACUUUCACUGCAAACUCCUCCGACAGCUUUGAUCCAAUUCUAACUCUUAUCUUUACCCCAUCAUACAAACUCAUCACUGCCCUCUCUAUUACCUCUAAUGCACCUAUCUUCCUCAAUGCCCACUUAAUCACCUUCCUUGGAACCCUAUCAAAUGCCUUCUCCAGAUCAACGAAGCACAUGUACAACUCCUUCUCCUUAUCUCGGUAUUCCUCUUGCAAUCUCCUUACAAUGAACACUGCAUCUAUUGUCCCUUUUCCUGGCAUAAAACAAAAUUGCAUUUCGUCCACAUCCACCCCUUUCCAAAUUCUCCUCUCCAACACCCUUUCCACUAUCGUCAUUGCAUGCUCCAAUAACUUCACCCCCCUAUACGCCACUCAUCGCAACCCCCUUCCCCUUGAAGAUCGGUACCACCACACUCAGUGCCCAAUCAUCCUGGCAUUCCUCUUCCAUGCAGCACACCCUGACAGAGCUCCGUCAUCGCAGCAAUCCCUAUCUCUCCACUUGCAUUUUGAUGGACCAGCUGCCUUUCCUGUUUUCAUUUCCUUCAUUGCCUCCACUAUUUCCUUCUGACUAACCCUCUCCACUUGCUCCUUCACCACAGCAACUUCCACCCUCUGAUCCCAUUCAUUCUCUUCGUUCAUAAUUCCCUCCAAAUGCUCCUUCCAAACUCUCCCCCUGUCCUUCUCAUUAAAAUUCAACCUUCCAUCACUCCCCUUCAUGCAUCUUUCUCCCUUAACAUCUCUUCCAUCUUUUUCAUUGGUUUAAUAGACCUAAAUUGAUUUAAUAAACCUAGGGAAGCAAAAUUUCAAAAAGAGAGGGAACUGUUGGAAAAAAAAAAGAAAAUAAUAAUAAAAUAAAUUCGUUUCCUAUGGAAGUCGAAAUCUCAAAAGGGGAGAUGUGGAGAGAGUCAUGAUACCCACUGCAAGAAUUGACUUGACCGAACGACUAUAAAUAGUAGCGGUCUCAGUGAAAAGCAGAGAAGGCGUUAAUCGUAGUAAGUCAUAAGGUGUCGUUUUGGUAGUUUGUCGUAAUAUCGUUUGUUAGUUCGUGGAGAGUUCGUGGAGAGUUUGUUGGAUCGUUACGUUGUCGUUACCCUGCUUCGUUAUAUAUUUUACUGUUACUACACGGUUAGAGUGUAAAAAAAUAUCAUCAUAACAAUUGGUGAUACAACACAUAUUAUAACCGUCAAAAAAUCAAAUAGUCUCCAUUGGCAUGACAAACAAAAUUUGCAUCUCAAAGACUAGUGUUCUUCUUCUGAACAAAACAAUACUUCCUUCCCGAUCAUUUGCUGACACUCUACAAAGAUAUAUUCUAUUAACAUAGAGUUUUGCAAUUACUCCACACCCAAAACCUCUAGGCUAGAUCGAGAAUAAAAAAAAUGGGGUUGCCUGACUUAAAAACCCCGAACGACUGGAAACAUUUAUCGUUGACUGUGAGAAAAAGAUUCAGCAUAUCAUUAGAACAAUACGCCAUGCAUACAUUGCCUGCAAUAUUGAUAAUAAAGGCAACCACUCCUUCACCUAGAUUAGAUUCUACAUCCCAUCCUGCUUUGAAGCAUUUGUUUUUGCUAUCCAGGAAUAGGUGAUAGCUACUAAUCAAUAAUAAUUGCUGACAAAAAACAUCGAUUCUACCAUAGCAGUGUAGAAGAUAUCGCUUACAUCAUCGCCAGUUUCUCAACAACUGAAAAGUAGUACCUUCGUUUGAAACAUGACCACAUAAUCUUGUUAUUUACAAUGUUGCCUGCAGGAGGGAUUGUCCUGAGAGUCAUACCAGGAAUUAUAACAGAAUCUAAAGGCAUCUACAGCUUUAAAUAUUAGAAAUACUGGUGGGACAUACAUUUAAAAACAACAAUCUGCCGCAAAUACAAUAGACCUGUAAUUGUUCUAUAGAACAGAACACGAAAGUCAUUCACUGUUUUUGUUGCAGAGAUUAGUUGAUCAACAGGUGUGAAUGUCUCCACUAAGGUGGCGGCGAACUAAUCUGGAACUUAGAACCAUUUGUACGUGUUAUCACAGGCAUUCUUGUACCACAGGUACUUUUGUAUCACAGGAACCCUUGUAUCGCAUCUGUACAUGUGAUUACUGAUAUACAGGACGGCUGACUGUUUAAGAAGUUCCCUCCACAAUCGUGAGGUACCAUGUUUAACACUUUGUGUCUGAGUUUGCUUGGUAUCUUGUAGGUUAGAUAGAAAUGAGUUCUACCAGUCCUUAACACUUAUAUGAUACUACGUACCGAUAGCUGAAGUGGUCUGUGGCACAUGUAGCUCAAUGUAAUCUAAGUUGAUCUACGUUUAAUCUAUAGGGCUGUCAGAUAAAUACGCUCGUUUCAUUCCAGUGUUGUUUGAAUUAACGCGAAAAAUUUAUUUAUCGUAGUCUUUUAUGGUUAUUACAGUUCUAUUCUUCCCAUACAACUUUUGUUUAUCGUUUCUGAGUUUUGAAUAAAUUUUUCCUUUUCAGAUAUAUGUCGAAUAGAGUGCCAAAGAAGAAAAAAAUGAAUAUUUUCCACAGCUGCUUCUCUACGCUUUCAGUCAAGUUUCCAAAGUUGCCAAAGUCACUCGAGAUAUUUGUGCUGUGUACAGAAAAGGGGCUAUUACUCAAAACACUUCACAGAAAUGGUUUUCAUGCAUUAACGUGAAAUUUGAUCUCAGACACUGCGUUUCGGCCGACCUGCUCAGUUCAAUGACGAUCGAUUGGACAACCUUCUCAACAAAG
rnacentral:lncRNA from 1 species